UUAUAUACAGCAGGAGUGGGGUAGGUGAGGACAAAGUGGAUGUUCAGAAGGGCUAUCAGGGUAAAAAAGACUGUCAGGAUAUUGGAGGCCUGGUUAUUAUCAAGUCAAGGCUGUUU